AGUGAAGCGAUGAUAAGAAUUAGUAAAUAUGUCUUAAUAUUUAGAGAAAAAGUGGUUGGUGAAAACUUUUUAUUUGGCAUUUUGAAGCUGUCUUUGAGCUAUUUGUUAAUAUAAGUGGCACAUAUGUGUAAUUAGGGUGGUACCGCGGAAAUUUGGCUUUCGUCCCUUCG
rnacentral:ncRNA from 1 species